UUACGGGUGGCACCAGUCGAGAAUCUUCGGCAAUGGACGAAAGUCUGACCGAGCGACGCCGCGUGCGGGAUGAAGGCCUUCGGGUUGUAAACCGCUGUCAGAGGGAAGGAAAUUUUGACCGAUCCUCAAAGGAAGUACGGGCUAAGUUCGUGCCAGCAGCCGCGGUAAGACGAACCGUACAAACGUUAUUCGGAAUCACUGGGCUUAAAGGGUGCGUAGGUGGUCUAUUAAGUUGGGUGUGAAAUCCCUCGGCUCAACCGAGGAACUGCGCUCAAUACUGGUAGACUUGAGGGAGAUAGAGGUGAGCGGAACUGAUGGUGGAGCGGUGAUAUGCGUUGAUAUCAUCGGGAACACCUGUGGCGAAAGCGGCUCACUGGAUCUCUUCUGACACUGAGGCACGAAAGCUAGGGGAGCGAACGGGAUUAGAUACCCCCGUAGUC
rnacentral:rRNA from 1 species